rnacentral:tRNA from 1 species
GUUUUUAUAUCUUAUAAAAAGUUUUAGAUUCUUACUCUAAAUAAGCCUGGGUACGGGUUAAAAACA